AUAUACUGAGGUUUUAAUUACAUUAUUUUAAUAUAGUCAGUCGUGAAUUAAAGUGGGCCGGUCUAAGGCAUGCAACUCCAGGGCUGAAAAUGAGUCCCACUCCGGCCCUGCACUAGGGCCGCAACUAAAACCUUUAAUUUCUGUUUUGCAGAAUAAAUUCACUUUAAAUGUGCAACCACCCUUUGUGAUUUAUUCACUGCACACUGUUAAGUGUUACAUAAACAGAAAAAAAAUGUUAUACCAAGAAAAAAAAAAGGAAAAAGGAAAAAAAUAAAUCAAACUGGUUAAAACUAGUCAAAACAAAGCUGGAAAUCAGAGCUCUAAUCACAGCAAAAGAAAAACAACAUAGAAAUAACUUGGAAUUAGGCAAAAAAAAACUUCGUAAAUAAGGCUUGACUAGCUAACAGGUUAACAAGAGGGUGGGGCAACAAUUGACAAUUGAACGCAUGGCGCAAACAACAAGUGCCGAAGCACAAGGCGAACGAACACAAGCACCACACGCCGAAGCGCGUGAGCGGACAACCAAGACAGCCACGCGCUCCGGACGAACAGCGUUACAAACACAAGGCAGUUUGAAACUUCUUAGUUAUUUUGGGAAGCCAUAGGGGUCGUUGGUGAUGGGUCGAAGAUCGAGGCAAAAGCAUGGAGAAGAUGUUACACUGUCCUUCCCAAUGGAUAAAGCGGAGGAAGCCGAUAGAUUGAGAAUAACUUUUACAUCAGAAUCUACGAAGAAUUCUUGUGUGAUCGCACAGCGCUGUUCCGGUUCUGAAAGCUGUGAUGUUGUGGAAGAACCUGGAGUCAAACUGAUGGUUGGAGGAGGACUCGUGAAUGUAACCAUUCAGAAAGUGAACAGCUCCAGAUCAGGACUCUAUGAAGCACGAGCCUUUUUUGGAAAGGACGUGUCUGAGAUGAAUGCUACACUUGUUGUCAACGAAGCAUCAUCCUCCACCCAAAAACCUCCCAACUCCUCUAACCUGCUCGGGCUAUGUGCUUUAAUUCCUAUUGUCACCUCAGUGGGUCGUUUGCUUCUGUAAACACAAGAAGGCAAG